AGCAGCCGCGGUAAUUCCAGCUCCAAUAGCGUAUAUUAAAGUUGUUGCAGUUAAAAAGCUCGUAGUUGAAUUUCGGGAUCAAUCUGUUGGUCGUGCCUUUGGUACGUACUAGCUUAUUGAUUUCUCCCUUCUGACGAACCAUGAUGUCAUUAAUUUGGUGUCAUGGGAAAUCAGGACUGUUACUUUGAAAAAAUUAGAGUGUUUAAAGCAGGCUCACGCUUGAAUACAUUAGCAUGGAAUAAUGAAAUAGGACGUUUUGAUUCUAUCUUGUUGGUUUCUAGGAUCGACGUAAUGAUUAAUAGGGAUAGUUGGGGGCAUUAGUAUUCAAUUGUCAGAGGUGAAAUUCUUGGAUUUAUUGAAGACUAACUACUGCGAAAGCAUUUGCCAAGGAUGUUUUCAUUAAUCAAGAACGAAAGUUAGGGGAUCGAAGACGAUCAGAUACCGUCGUAGUCUUAACCAUAAACUAUGCCGACUAGGGAUCGGAUGAUG
rnacentral:rRNA from 1 species